CAGUCGCCACGGGAAAACGUAGGGUGCAAGCGUUAAUCGGAAUUACUGGGCGUAAAGCGCGCGCAGGCGGCCUAUCCAGUCUGUCUUGAAAGUUCGGGGCUCAACCCCGUGAUGGGAUGGAAACUAGUAGGCUAGAGUAUCGGAGAGGAAAGCGGAAUUCCUAGUGUAGCGGUGAAAUGCGUAGAUAUUAGGAAGAACACCAGUGGCGAAGGCGGCUUUCUGGACGAAAACUGACGCUGAGGCGCGAAAGCCAAGGGAGCGAACGGGAUUAGAGACCCCCGUAGUCCCUGUCUCUUAUACA
rnacentral:rRNA from 1 species